CGGGCAUAUCUGACCAACAACUCCACACCGAGCGACCCAGAGGCCCUUCCUGAGGCUGGGCUGAGACGGGAUGUCAGUGCACAGGACGGAGAAGCAGAUGACAAUGAUGCCGAGUCUGGGAAGCAAGAAUCUGAUGAGCCAGACACAACGGACAGUGAGGAGAAGUAUGAAGAUGAGAUCCUACAAGAAGCUGAGGCUGACGGGAAAUAUUUUUGCACCAAAGACAAAGCUCAUGUGCAGCAGAGGAAGAGAAAAAGAGGACAGGAUCCCUGGAUAAAAGGAUCUAAGAAGUCAAUGAGAGGAAAAAA